CAGUCGUACCUGCGGAUAAUCAUCCUUUAGAUGCGAUUUUGUGGAGCGUGAAGAGCUAAUCGCCUUCAUGCCUGUAUAUUUGUGUACUUGGGGUGUACUUAUUCGUGUGGUGAGUUAACAUCAAUUUUGGUUGUCAUAAAAUGAUUGGAGG
rnacentral:rRNA from 1 species